CGGGUGAGUAACACGUGGAUAACCUACCUAUAAGACUGGGAUAACUUCGGGAAACCGGAGCUAAUACCAGAUAACAUGUUGAACCGCAUGGUUCAACAGUGAAAGACGGUCUUGCUGUCACUUAUAGAUGGAUCCGCGCCGCAUUAGCUAGUUGGUAAGGUAACGGCUUACCAAGGCAACGAUGCGUAGCCGACCUGAGAGGGUGAUCGGCCACACUGGAACUGAGACACGGUCCAG
rnacentral:rRNA from 1 species